GUUACAGGAAAAAUUCUUCGUUCACGCGGCAAGAGCUGUGAAAAAGCAUUCGGACGGUUAAUUCAGUUAUAGAAUCAAAUUAAAAAUCUUUAAAUACGCAGUAAAGAUUUUUCUGUAAAUAAAUUUAAUUUUAUUCUCUUCAAAAAACAUGUCAGGAAGACAAGGUGGUAAGAAGAAGCCUUUGAAGGCCCCAAAGAAAGACAAAGCAGAAUGUGAUGACGAUGCAGAUUUUAAGCAAAAACAGAAGGAACAAGAAAAGGCCUUAAGAGAAGCAAGAGAAAAAGCUGCUAAAGGUGGUCCCUUAGGAGUUGGUGGAAUUAAGAAAUCUGGAAAGAAGUGAUAUUGAUUUUUAAUAGAUGUCAUAAUUGGGAUUUUCUUAACAAAAGAUGCUGUGUUGUAAAAAAUAUCCAUUUUUCUUGUACAUAAAUUCAUGUAAGAUCGUUAAAAAAAUAAACUUAGAGCUUUUUUACUGCUAAGAAGGAUGCUUAAUUUUUUUUUUUUCUGUUGACAGUUGUGUAUGAUUACUUCUUUAUUAAUUAUGGUUUGGAAUCAAUCCAUUGAUUGUGAAACAUUUGACAAGUUUCAAAAUAAAACUUUUGAAAGAACUGA